GUGCCAGCCGCUGCGGUAAUACGUAGGGCGCAAGCGUUAUCCGGAAUUAUUGGGCGUAAAGAGCUCGUAGGCGGUUUGUCGCGUCUGCUGUGAAAUCCCGAGGCUCAACCUCGGGCCUGCAGUGGGUACGGGCAGACUAGAGUGCGGUAGGGGAGAUUGGAAUUCCUGGUGUAGCGGUGGAAUGCGCAGAUAUCAGGAGGAACACCGAUGGCGAAGGCAGAUCUCUGGGCCGUAACUGACGCUGAGAGCGAAAGGGUGGGAGCAAACAGGCUUAGAUACCCUGGUAGUCCACCCCGUAAACGUUGGGAACUAGUUGUGGGUCCAUUCCACGGAUUCCGUGACGCAGCUAACGCAUUAAGUUCCCG
rnacentral:rRNA from 1 species